rnacentral:rRNA from 1 species
AUGCCCAGCCGUAAACAACUUACACGCCAGGGAAUUACGAGCUUAGCUUAAAACCCAAAAGACUUGACGGUGUCCCACCCCACUAGAGGAGCCUGUCCUAAAAUCGACAAUACCCGCUUAACCUUACCACUUCUUGCUUUAUCAGCCAGUAUACUUCCGUCGCAAGCUUACCACAUGAGUGCACGUAGUGGGCUCAAUGAUCACUAGUAAAUACGUCAGGUCAAGGUGCAGCAUAAGAAGUGGGCUGAGAUGGGCUACAAUUUCUAGCUUAGAACACACGAAGUGCUGAAUGAAACACAGCAUGAAGGUGGAUUUAGUAGUAAAAAGAAAAUAGAGCGUUCUUUUUAACAGCGGCACUGAGACACGUACAAACCGCCCGUCACCCUCCUCAACGGAUACACUUCUGUAAAUAACAACAACCCCACCAACAGAGGAGGCAAGUCGUAACAUGGUGAGUGUACCGGAAGGUGCACUUGGAUCG